AUCUGCUCACGAGAGGGCGCUGGCAACCCAGCCUAGGCCGAGAAGGUUCUUAGAUCUCCUAGGAAGGCCAGGCCUCUUUGGGGGUAUUCAGGUCUGAUUUCUCAAGAGCCGCAGAACCGCAGAUGGCAGGGCUGGAAGAGAGCCCGCGGAUGAUUUAAUCCACUCUUUGGAUUUUGCAAUUCUCAGCCACGGGAGGUUAAAGGAGGAGCCGCUUCAAGAAUUACGGAAGUUGCGAACACAGUGCAGAGCAUACGCAUUCGCCUCAGCCUAGCUUCCCCCAGGGUGGGCAUCUCACCAGCACUUCUCUGGGCAUAUGUAGAAACUGAAGAUUAGGACAAAAAGUUGGAUCUCAAGGUAGCUGGUUUGGAGGUGGCAGGACAGGUGGCCCCGCGGUGGCCCUCACGGCUGCCUGUAUGCUUUUCAGGAAGCCUUGAACAGUGCCGGGGAUAAACUUGUAGUAGUUGACUUCGCAGUCACAUGGUGUGGACCUUGCAAAAUGAUCAAGCCUUUCUUUCAUAGGUAUAAGGAAGAAAACAAUUGACCAGAAGUGGUAGCUUUCUUCCUUCCAGUAGGUCAUAUAGACCAGCGUUGGAUGAGCAGGAAGAAGAACAGACAUGAAACAAAACAGGAAGGUGCGUUGCUCCAGAAACAUCAUAGGAUCGGAUGACUUGAAAACCUUCACCAAACUUGGGACCGUUACACCAUUCACAUCUAGAUGUGCUGCAAUGGAGGACACAUCAAAUCAGUAUUUUAGUAAACAUCUACUGAAGAGAAGACAUUAUAUUUGAUGCUCUGUGAGACUCACAGUAGUAUCAAAUAGGACCUUUGUUAUUGAUCUUACCAUCUUAGUUGAGGAACGAAAACAUACGCAAGUACAAUUAAAUGCUAAAAAAAUAAAGUAGAUAAAUAUAUAUGACACUCCUAAUUUUCUAAGAACAAAGAGGUAUAGAUGCAUAGUAAGAAAACACUCUGAGGAUAGAUUCCAAAUAGAGGAUAGUAAUUAUUCUUGGUCAGUGCGAUCACAGGAAAUUUGACAUGCUUUUAUAAAUGUUUUUCCAAAUUUUCUAUAAUAAAUAUGCAUUAUUUUUAUAAUUCAAAAAUAAAUAUAUCAUUUUUAAAAUAAA